AUUUCCCAGCAAGAGCCUGUGUAUCAAAGUUUCAGAAGAAACCUAAGAAUUUCAGUCAAUUGGGAUGAAUGGAUACCAGUGGAUUGUCCAUGAUCUGAGAUCCGACUAAAGAGUUGGCCAGUAAGUAGUGAUGUUGUCAUGAAGAGUCUGCCCCCCAAAGACCAUCACAAAGCAGAAAAAAAACUGAAAGAUGAUCAAAAGACUCUGCCUUCGCAGGCAGAGCUGCUGCUGCUGCUAAGUCAUUUCAGUCGUGUCUGACUCUGUGGGACCCCAUAGACAGCAGCCCACCAUGCUCCACCAUCCCUUGGAUUCUCCAGGCAAGAACACUGGAGUGGGUUGCCAUUUCCUUCUCCAAUGCAUGAAAGUGAAAAGUGAAAGUGAAGUUGCUCAGUCGUGUCCGACUCUUCGUGACCCCAUGGACUGCAGCCUACCAGGCUCCUCCGUCCAUGGGAUUUUCCAGGCAAGAGUAGUGGAGUGGGAUGCCAUUGCCUUCUCCUCGCAGCUAGGAGUGGAAUUGCAGGAUUGUAUCCAAUUUAAAAAGUGGGCAGAGGACCUGAAGAGUAUUUUUCCAAAGAAGACGUGCAGAGAACCAUGCAUGUGCAGCCACAUGAAAAGACGCUCAACCUCAUGAAUCAUCAGGGGAAGCAAAUCAAAACCAUAAUGUGACAUCAUCUCAUACCUGUCAGGAUAGUUAUUGUGGAAAAAAAAGAAACAAGAAAUAACAAGAAUGGCAAGGAUGUGGGAAAAAAGGGAACCUUAGAACAGUGUUGGUGGGAAUGUAAAUUAGUAUAGACACUAUGGAAAACAGUAUGAAGGUUCCCCCAAAAUUAAACAUAGAUCUAUCUAAGUCUUAGGUUAAAGAGGACCCAAACUGGUAGUUAUUAUAAGACCUAAAGGAGAUAAUACACAGAAAUUAAGGUCUAGUGCCUAGCAUGUAGUAAGUUUUCAAUAAAUGUCAGUUGUUGCUUUCACAAAGAAUGUUUUACGGUUGGUAAUAGUUAUUUGUGUCUCAGAAUUUGACCAAUAUAGACCAAUGAAUACAGCCAUUGAGUAUGGGCAUUUAACACAUCCAAUUAAUG
ensembl:lncRNA